UACGUAGGGUGCGAGCGUUAAUCGGAAUUACUGGGCGUAAGGCGUGCGCAGGCGGUUUUGUAAGACAGGUGUGAAAUCCCCGGGCUUAACCUGGGAACUGCAUCUGUGACUGCAAGGCUAGAGUAUGGCAGAGGGGGGUAGAAUUCCACGUGUAGCAGUGAAAUGCGUAGAUAUGUGGAGGAAUACCGAUGGCGAAGGCAGCCCCCUGGGUCAAUACUGACGCUCAUGCACGAAAGCGUGGGGAGCAAACAGG
rnacentral:rRNA from 1 species